GACGAACGCUGGCGGCGCGCCUAACACAUGCAAGUCGAACGAGCGAGAGAGAGCUUGCUUUCUCGAGCGAGUGGCGAACGGGUGAGUAACGCGUGAGGAACCUGCCUCAAAGAGGGGGACAACAGUUGGAAACGACUGCUAAUACCGCAUAAGCCCACGACCCGGCAUCGGGUAGAGGGAAAAGGAGCAAUCCGCUUUGAGAUGGCCUCGCGUCCGAUUAGCUAGUUGGUGAGGUAACGGCCCACCAAGGCGACGAUCGGUAGCCGGACUGAGAGGUUGAACGGACACAUUGGGACUGAGACACGGCCCAGACUCCUACGGGAGGCAGCAGUGGGGAAUAUUGCACAAUGGGGGAAACCCUGAUGCAGCGACGCCGCGUGGAGGAAGAAGGUCUUCGGAUUGUAAACUCCUGUUGUUGAGGAAGAUAAUGACGGUACUCAACAAGGAAGUGACGGCUAACUACGUG
rnacentral:rRNA from 1 species